UAGUGUUGAUUAGUUGUAAUUACAUUAUAUUUAAUAUUUGUUAUCAUUUUUUAGUGGGCGAUUAUCAAUUAGCUUACAUCAAAAAUGGCUGGAAAAGGUUGAGAACCACUGACAUACAUGAUGGAGA